rnacentral:misc_RNA from 1 species
GCACAGAAAGGAAUCUGGCUUGAUGUCUCUAUCUUGCAUCUCCAGAUAGAGCUUUAAAGCAUCUUCACCUUGUUCUCCUUGAGAAUAAGCUGUUAUCAUAGAUGUAAAUGCCACCAAAUCUACAAAUGGGCUUUCUUUGAACACAUUGGUUGCAGCUUCUAUGUAACCACAUUUUCCAUAUGUAUCAAUAAGGCUGUUAGCAACAUAGUUGUCCGAUUCGAACCCUGCUUUCACAGAAAAUGCAUGAAUUUG